ensembl:lncRNA
UUCUCCUUCAUCCAAAAGUUAUUUAUUUACUCAACUCAACAAAUGUUUACUGAGCACCUAUUAUGUGUUAGGCAGGCAUUGUUCCAGGUGAUGGAAUAAAAUAGUGAAGAAGACAAGGACCCUCUCAUGGAGUUUGUAUUUCAGUUUGUAUCCCCCCUCAAUGGAAAUAGAACUCAGGACCUUGUGCUUGCCAGGCAGGUGUGGUGCCACUGAGCUACAUCCCUGGUCCCUCAGUUUGUAUUUUAGACACAAAGGAUGGUCAAUAAAUUAGACAUCAGUUGGGCAUGGUGGCUCACUCCUGUAAUCCCAUCACUUGGGAGGAUUUGGCAUGAGUGUGAGGCUGGUCUGGGCUAAACAGUAAGAUCCUGUCUCAAGGAACAAAAAACCCCCAAUGAAUUAGGAAGUAAAAGUAACCCCCCUUUGGAGCAAGGUCUGAGUUUAGGCUGGCUUUGAACUGAGGCUGACCCUAGAGGUCGUGGGAUCUUCCUGUCACUUAGCCUGGCACUAGUGGUAGUAUAUUUUAUGGUCAAAGAGGUGGGUUUGGAUCAUGUGGAUUUUAGUGGGCCUAAGAGAGAUAGUAUUACAGCAAAUUCUACAGCUCUCAGCAAGUACUACAGCAGACCAAGACCAAGAACUGAGUGGGACCCGAGGUUUGGAGCAAAUGUACAGCUUUCUUGACUUUGGCAGUCCUGACUGGGAUCACUCCCAAAGAGUCAGGCCCUGAAAGGUCGGUGUGCCAGGUUUUUAUAGGGUUUGUGAGCAAGCAGGAAGUACAGAAGCAGAGCGCUUGUUGUUAGUUGACUGGACAGAAAGAUACAUUGAGUGUCACCCUUUUUUAUAUAUGGCAGGAACAGGAAGGUAUUAUAUGAUUGGUCAAAAGUUACAUUCUGGUUUCAUAUGGCAGGAAGAGGGUCAAGAGGUUACAUCAUUCUGGGGAAACAAACUUAUUGGAGAACAAAAGGCUUACUGAAGGGUGGGGUCUUCUGACUGAGAGCAAGUGUAUUUUCUGCUUUAUUUCCCCCUUUUGUUUGAACAUGGUCAAACUAGACUAUGACUAGACUGUGUGUUCGUGUUCAAUAGGUGUGUAGGUUAGGUGUGGGUGGGUCAGUAAGGUUUCCCUUGGGCUCAGGGGGGAAUGGGAGCAGUGGUGGCCUUGGUGUAGAUAUACUGAUAUGGAGUGAUGGGGCCUAGACGUUUUGGAUUCUUAUGAUUACCCCUGGGUCUUUUCCCCUACCAUCUACCUGGACAUUCAUCUGACAACUGUUUGCCCACUCUUGGUUGGUGGAGUCCUGGACAGUGUACCUUACUGGGUUGCAAGUCCCUUGUUGACAAUUAGGGUUUGAUGGGAGCUGGGUUAAGGGCAUAUUCAGGUACCCCCUGUAGUCCAUGGGGCAGUCCCAAUAGAGGAAGAACCAAUCUAGGAUGUCUCUACAGUGGCUUAGACGCCCUUGGCCUCCAGGUGGCUGGCACCAUUUGGGACAGACAUAUUUGUUAUUGGUUUGAUAUUCUCUUUCCCAGAUUAAGCCUCCUAAACAUAGGAAUUCUGGCCUGGGUUUUUGGUUUCAAUAGGACGUGCAUUAAAAUACAAAUACAUAGUAGGCUGGGAGGGAUCCCAUGUAGUCCUGUUGAGGAUUACCAUGGGAUCGGUGCCAUAAAGUUGGGCUUGGAACUCCCAGUGCCCUGAGUUUGCUUGGCCAAGUAGACCACGUAGGAGCAGAUACAGAUCAACAAUAGGGGGCCAGGAUUUAGCUUAAUGGUUCCACUGCCUGCCUCACAAGCUCAAGGUCCCGAAUUCAAUCCCUGGUACCAAAACAAAACAAAUAAACAAAAAACAAUAGGAAACAUCUUUGUACAGUUGUAUACGUACGGGUAUGGCAUACCAGAAGCCAACAGUUACAAACAAGGGUGACUGGUUCCAACACUCCAUAAAACAAGCAGCUCAAUUGUCC